AAAUGAAUAGACGGGGGCCCGCACAAGCAGUGGAGUAUGUGGUUUAAUUCGAAGCAACGCGAAGAACCUUACCAGGUCUUGACAUCCCGUGCAUAGUGUAGAGAUACAUGAAGUCCUUCGGGACACGGUGACAGGUGGUGCAUGGUUGUCGUCAGCUCGUGUCGUGAGAUGUUGGGUUAAGUCCCGCAACGAGCGCAACCCUUAUUGCUAGUUACUACGAAAGAGGACUCUAGCAAGACUGCCGUUGACAAAACGGAGGAAGGUGGGGAUGACGUCAAAUCAUCAUGCCCUUUAUGACCUGGGCCACACACGUACUACAAUGGCUAUUAACAAAGAGAUGCUAAGCCGCGAGGUGGAGCGAACCUCAUAAAAAUAGUCUCAGUUCGGAUUGCAGGCUGCAACUCGCCUGCAUGAAGCCGGAAUUGCUAGUAAUCGCGGAUCAGCAUGCCGCGGUGAAUACGUUCCCGGGCCUUGUACACACCGCCCGU
rnacentral:rRNA from 1 species